rfam:Gossypium raimondii chromosome 3, whole genome shotgun sequence.
GGUUUAUGAUGAUAAGUUGUAAGGCUUGUUUCUCAAAACAUUCGCAGUGGCCGCCUGAGAGCUUUCGCUUUUCGCCGGGCUUGAGAGCUUGUGCUGCUUUUAUCCUUCCUUGGAUGUCUGAGACC